GAAUAUUGGGCAAUGGACGCAAGUCUGACCCAGCCAUGCCGCGUGCAGGAUGAAGGCCUUCUGGGUUGUAAACUGCUUUUAUCUAGGAAGAAAAAACUCUUGCGAGAGGAACUGACGGUACUAGAUGAAUAAGCACCGGCUAACUCCGUGCCAGCAGCCGCGGUAAUACGGAGGGUGCAAGCGUUGUCCGGAUUUAUUGGGUUUAAAGGGUGCGUAGGCGGCCUUAUAAGUCAGUGGUGAAAGCCCACAGCUCAACUGUGGAACUGCCAUUGAUACUGUAAGGCUUGAGUACAGACGAGGUAGGCGGAAUUGAUGGUGUAGCGGUGAAAUGCAUAGAUACCAUCAAGAACACCGAUUGCAUAGGCAGCUUACUAGGCUGUAACUGACGCUGAGGCACGAAAGCGUGGGGAGCGAACAG
rnacentral:rRNA from 1 species